rnacentral:rRNA from 1 species
GGGUGGGGUGACUGCGUACCUUUUGUAUAAUGGGUCAGCGACUUAUAUUCUGUAGCAAGGUUAACCGUAUAGGGGAGCCGCAGGGAAACCGAGUCUUAAUUGGGCGUUAAGUUGCAGGGUAUAGACCCGAAACCCGGUGAUCUAGCCAUGGGCAGGUUGAAGGUUGGGUAACACUAACUGGAGGACCGAACCGACUAAUGUUGAAAAAUUAGCGGAUGACCUGUGGCUGGGGGUGAAAGGCCAAUCAAACCGGGAGAUAGCUGGUUCUCCCCGAAAGCUAUUUAGGUAGCGCCUCGUGAAUUCAUCUCCGGGGGUAGAGCACUGUUUCGGCUAGGGGGCCAUCCCGGCUUACCAACCCGAUGCAAACUGCGAAUACCGGAGAAUGUUAUCACGGGAGACACACGGCGGGUGCUAACGUCCGUCGUGAAGAGGGAAACAACCCAGACCGCCAGCUAAGGUCCCAAAGUCAUGGUUAAGUGGGAAACGAUGUGGGAAGGCCCAGACAGCCAGGAUGUUGGCUUAGAAGCAGCCAUCAUUUAAAGAAAGCGUAAUAGCUCACUGGUCGAGUCGGCCUGCGCGGAAGAUGUAACGGGGCUAAACCAUGCACCGAAGCUGCGGCAGCGACGCUGAUGCGUUGUUGGGUAGGGGAGCGUUCUGUAAGCCUGUGAAGGUGGCCUGUGAGGGUUGCUGGAGGUAUCAGAAGUGCGAAUGCUGACAUAAGUAACGAUAAAGCGGGUGAAAAGCCCGCUCGCCGGAAGACCAAGGGUUCCUGUCCAACGUUAAUCGGGGCAGGGUGAGUCGACCCCUAAGGCGAGGCCGAAAGGCGUAGUCGAUGGGAAACGGGUUAAUAUUCCCGUACUUGGUGUUACUGCGAAGGGGGGACGGAGAAGGCUAUGUUGGCCGGGCGACGGUUGUCCCGGUUUAAGCGUGUAGGCGGGUGUUCCAGGUAAAUCCGGAACGCUGUUAACGCUGAGGCGUGAUGACGAGGCACUACGGUGCUGAAGCAACAAAUGCCCUGCUUCCAGGAAAAGCCUCUAAGCAUCAGGUAACAUCAAAUCGUACCCCAAACCGACACAGGUGGUCAGGUAGAGAAUACCAAGGCGCUUGAGAGAACUCGGGUGAAGGAACUAGGCAAAAUGGUGCCGUAACUUCGGGAGAAGGCACGCUGACACGUAGGUGAAGUGAUUUACUCAUGGAGCUGAAGUCAGUCGAAGAUACCAGCUGGCUGCAACUGUUUAUUAAAAACACAGCACUGUGCAAACACGAAAGUGGACGUAUACGGUGUGACGCCUGCCCGGUGCCGGAAGGUUAAUUGAUGGGGUCAGCGCAAGCGAAGCUCCUGAUCGAAGCCCCGGUAAACGGCGGCCGUAACUAUAACGGUCCUAAGGUAGCGAAAUUCCUUGUCGGGUAAGUUCCGACCUGCACGAAUGGCGUAAUGAUGGCCAGGCUGUCUCCACCCGAGACUCAGUGAAAUUGAACUCGCUGUGAAGAUGCAGUGUACCCGCGGCAAGACGGAAAGACCCCGUGAACCUUUACUAUAGCUUGACACUGAACAUUGAGCCUUGAUGUGUAG